CAGCCGCGGUAACACCGGCAGCUCUAGUGGUAGCAAGUUUUAUUGGGCCUAAAGCGUCCGUAGCCGGUUUAAUAAGUCUCUGGUGAAAUCCUGCAGCUUAACUGUGGGAAUUGCUGGAGAUACUAUUAGACUUGAGACCGGGAGAGGUUAGAGGUACUCCCAGGGUAGAGGUGAAAUUCUGUAAUCCUGGGAGGACCGCCUGUUGCGAAGGCGUCUAACUGGAACGGUUCUGACGGUGAGGGACGAAAGUUAGGGGCGCGAACCGGAUUAGAUACCCGGGUAGUCCUAACUGUAAACGAUGCGGACUUGGUGUUGGGGUGGCUUUGAGCUGCUUCAGUGCCGAAGGGAAGCUGUUAAGUCCGCCGCCUGGGAAGUACGGUCGCAAGACUGAAACUUAAGGAAUUGGCGGGGGAGCACCACAACGCGUGGAGCCUGCCGGUUUAAUUGGAUUCAACGCCGGACAUCUCACCAGAGGCGACAGCUGUAUGAUAGCCAGGUUGAUGACUUUGCUUGACUAGCUGAGAAGAGGUGCAUGG
rnacentral:rRNA from 1 species